rnacentral:rRNA from 1 species
GACGAACGCUGGCGGCGUGCCUAACACAUGCAAGUCGAGCGAAUGAAGUUCCUUCGGGAAUGGAUUUAGCGGCGGACGGGUGAGUAACACGUGGGCAACCUGCCUCAUAGAGGGGAAUAGCCUCCCGAAAGGGAGAUUAAUACCGCAUAAGAUUGUAGUACCGCAUGAUACAGCAAUUAAAGGAGCAAUCCGCUAUGAGAUGGGCCCGCGGCGCAUUAGCUAGUUGGUGAGGUAAUGGCUCACCAAGGCGACGAUGCGUAGCCGACCUGAGAGGGUGAUCGGCCACAUUGGGACUGAGACACGGCCCAGACUCCUACGGGAGGCAGCAGUGGGGAAUAUUGCACAAUGGGGGAAACCCUGAUGCAGCAACGCCGCGUGAGUGAUGACGGCCUUCGGGUCGUAAAGCUCUGUCUUCAGGGACGAUAAUGACGGUACCUGAGGAGGAAGCCACGGCUAACUACGUG